rnacentral:rRNA from 1 species
CCUACGGGAGGCAGCAGUGAGGAAUAUUGGUCAAUGGACGAGAGUCUGAACCAGCCAAGUCGCGUGAAGGAUGACUGCUCUAUGGGUUGUAAACCUCUUUUAUAUGGGAAUAAAAGAGGGUAUGCAUACCCUCUGGUAUGUCCCAUAUGAAUAAGGACCGGCUAAUUCCGUGCCAGCAGCCGCGGUAUUACGGAGGAACCGAGCGUUACCCGGAAUUAUUGGGUUUAAAGGGAGCGUAGGUGGAUUGUUAAGUCAGUUGUGAAAGUUUGCGGCUCAACCGUAGAAUUGCAGUUGAAACUGGCAGUCUUGAGUACAGUAGAGGUAGGCGGAAUUCGUGGUGUAGCGGUGAAAUGCUUAGAUAUCACGAAGAACUCCGAUUGCGAAGGCAGCUCACUGGACUGCAACUGACGCUGAUGCUCGAAAGUGUGGGUAUCAAACAGGAUUAGAUACCCUUGUAGUC